GUACUGUAUCGGGUUUUGUUUAUCGGAAGAGUCGCAAUUUCCUGCCUGCUGUAUACUCACUACUUGAUAAGGUCUUGAGCAUAAAGCUCUGUUCCUGUACCUAGGUAAAAACUAAUUUUUGCUUCCAGUAUUAGGGUUAUGAAUCACUGUAGCAUCUAACCACAAAUGCCACUGAGAACAUGCACAGGCAUAUUAUAUACUACUGUGACUGACUGUAAAGUGUACGGCACAUAAUAUUUAUAAUUGAUAAAUAUUUCACACACACACACACACACACACACACACACACACACACAACCACUUUAUUAGUCUACAAUGAAAAUUUUUUUGUCCGAAAAUGCACUCGAUAUUAUCAACUUUGUAAAUAGAAUCACUUCACUCCUUAGUUCAUACUGAUCGUUUUUUACCUUUUUUGUUUGAAGACUAGUGGCAUGCUGAAAAACGUUUAAUUUGGGUUUCUAUAAUCUCAGGGAAAUUACUCUCCCCUCGCCUCGUGAGAAAAUUCAGAAUACUUUCAAUAUCAUGGGUAUUGCUUUGGCAAUAUAAGAAAAAAAUGUAGUAAAGCAAAAUGUGGAACAGUUACAAAUUGGGGAUUGAUGAUCAUUACUAUGAAAUGAAAGCAGAAAUGCCAAAUUAAACAAUUACUAUUUAACGAAAGAAGCUUUUUAUACAGACAUCUAACAUCUCGUGUAUUAACUUUUUAAUUUUGGACAUAAGGAAUUUUUGCAGUAUUCGGCGAAAUACGUAGAAAUUACAAUAAUCUUAACCCGACUCUUUAGUGAAAGAAAAAAGUAUUCACAGUAAAGUCAUAUCAGUAAUUGCAAUUGGCGAUAAUAAUGGCACAAUUAAACAAAUUCCUGACAGGAAUACAAUUUCAGUUCAUUUGAACAAAAUGGAAGAAAAUAGGAGUCUGAUAGCGUAAGGUGCUGUCGGAAAGGCGCGCGACUAGAGGAGGAGAGAGAGAAGACGAGCGUGCAUUCUUAUAUGGAACAAAAUAUAGAUGAUGUUACGCCGCUCUCAUUAUCCUGGGAGUACAUAUUCGCCGACUUGCAGCGCAGUUCAUUGACUCAGUGGUUAAAUUAUAUCUUUAACUCUUGAUAUUUCGAUAGGAAAGGUAAAUGGUAUGUUUAUUAAGUCGCAGGCAGGGCACAAUAUUACAAGUAGCUGUUCAGGAUCUGAUUUUCCAGUUUUCGUUCGCGUUUCUGUGUUAUAUUGGGCUCUACGUUGGUAAUUACAAUGAAUCAGUUCUAACAGUGUUUCACAACUAGAGACCAUCAUCUCUUGAUGUUCCUUGUUCAAUGAACAACAGACAAACGUGAAGAGGAACGUCUUUCCACUUGUCAAUACUGCAACUGUGGCCUAGUUAAGCAAUUGAUUUCAAAAUUAUCAACUAAUGUAACGGCUGAUAUUCACGUAUAAUAAGAAGAGUUGUUUGUGUGGAACAUGUACAUAGAAGAUUCACCUGGAAAUCUGUGCUGCACUGGGUUUAAAUGUUAAAUCGCACACAUCGAGAGAACCAGUCAAAGAACUGGUCCAUGCAUUACAGGAAUACUAUUACCAAUCAGGCCUCAGAGAUGAGUGGAAGUUCUGAGUUAAUGACGUAGAGAACUCACACCACUUGCAAGGACGACCCGCUCGUGUUCCAGUAUGAGCGAUAAAACACAGAAACGCAGAAGUAUUUGUUUCUUAAGCAUUUUUUAUUGCAGUAUAAACUGCCUAUCUACAAAGUGAUAGCGUGAAAAAACGAACAGUUGAAGCAAUGCUUAUUUAAUUUCUUGUUGAUGAUACCAGCACCUCACAGCACAACAACAGCGUGAAGGAGAUUACACUUUUUGCUGAACAGAUAUUGUAAUUAUGAGUUGAUCUUUGAUAGUUUCUUUUUAGAUUCGUGACAUAUUUUUGGGCAUGGUGGGUGGCAGGGAUCUGUGACCAUAGUGUGCUGCAGUUGUGCACAUUACCAAUUGUUUUAUAACUUCUCCAUCGUAUGUAAGAAAAAUGUAUCCAACGGAGAACUCUGGCUAUGAUACAAGGCAAUAAUGCAGCCAUUAACUGGACUCAUCUGGGCAUCCUCAAAGAAAACAAAACUGAAAAUACGUUCAGUAUUAGUGUGUAAAAGUUAAGUAAUGCAAACACCAGGAUUUAAAAAAGGAAGCUAUUUGAUGGACCUCAGCAACUGCACUCGCAAUGCAUGGGUUAAUGCUGCAAGAUGAUUCUGGGAGUACCACAUGUUUUUGGCACUGAAAAUGAUACAUUUUUGUUUUUGAGGUCCUUGCAUGUAAUCGUUACAGCCUGGUGUGCGCAUGUAUGUACCAGUUCACAGCAGUCAUUAUUGAUUCAAGAACAGGUAAUAUGUUGGAAGUUCAUUUGCUUAAUAGCCAAGUACAGUGUGUGGUGCUCUUAUGACUGAAUCAAACAUUUGGGGAGGGCAGUGACUUUUGAUUGAAACAAAAUAAUUACAAUAAGUGAAGAUAUUCCCUUUUCGUUAUAGGAACUGUAAUUCGGAAUUUCUUGAUCCAGAAUUAGAGCUUGCAAUGAACAAAUUAUAUCGUGAAAGCUAUCCUGUAAUCAUAAUCUCAGAUGCUGUAAUUGUAAGAGAUCAGAUGGAAAACAGUAGCGUGUAUAUUGGUUGAGUCGCUGGCACUUUCUCUGUUAGUGGCUCAACAUUCCGUCUUAAACAUUGGUGGAUGUUGCCCUGUUGGAAUGUCAGGAGUGCUCAGGAGAACUUGCGGUCUGACUGUGGCAUCUUCCCCCAGCUAACGUUUCACAGUGAGGCAGCUCGGACUUUACUAACAGAUUGUCAGCUGACUGUGUGAGUCAACUCCUGUAAGUCAACCUAGAGGACUAGUUGUUAACUUGUUGUUUUCAAAAUCAGAACAGAAAACUGUUUACCAAAGUGGAACAAUAGUUGCUUCUCGCCCACUAGUUUUUGUUUUGUUGUGCUAGGUCUCAAUUUUAAAUGACAUACCGAUCAAGGAACAUUGCACAGACGAGUGAAAUUGAGGAACUGAUGUUUUCACACAUUUUAGGGCUUGUUGUGUAGAUGGAACAUAAAGGAUAUUCUUUAAAAUUUUAUUGUUGUGAAUUUGCUGCUCUUCGCUGGUGACAUCAAUUUGAUACAGGGAAUAUACCAAGGUGGUGCAGUGAACAGCAUUAGUGAAGUGCCCAUAGUGUUCGCAGAUUCUGAGAAAGGGCAGCGGGCUACUCAGUGAUCCCAUGUUUCAGAAUCACCUGCAGUGGAACCAGUUCAGGAGAGCGCAGCCGUGGACGUGGGCACCCACCAAGUGAUGGCCUUACAGGACUGGUCUGACGCAGUGUGUGUUGAAGAGCUGAAAGCUUACUGAGCCAUCAGCAGAAACCAGGAGACUUUCUGGUGAGGAGAGAGGCAGGAGGCUUGUCUAGGCAGCUGAAGACGGGGCAGUGCAGGAGCUGUGGACACUGCUGACAGCUGGAGCAGGUCUGUGGGCGAGGGGUGUGGACGAGAUGACCAACCUGCACCGUGCAGCAGCCGACGGAGGCGGCGAAGCUGAAAGGUGUCCGGUGGGGGGUGGACGCCAGGGACUUCUGCACUGGGCCGAAGCGAAUGGAUACACAGCUGCGGAGCAGCAGCUGGUGCCGCCCUUUGCCGACACCGACGCCAGUCGUGUGGUCGGGUGGACGCCGUUGCGUUAUGCGUUAUGCGGUGUGGUAUGGACAUACAGGGGUGGCAACAGCGCUUCUCGUGGCAGGGGCUGUUGGGGAGACGAGGGAUGACUAGAGGAGGAACACCGCACUGGACCUACCUGGGCAGUGCUGCAAACAGCAGCAUAUAGACAUACUGUCACUGAGCUAAUUGAUCGACAAAGCUAUGUGCAAUAAAAAUGAAAUAAUUUAACUGUGUCUACUUGUUAAUUUAAAUAAGGAAUGCAUUAAAUACACCUACAGUCAC